GCGCUCUUAGCUCAGUUGGAUAGAGCAUCGGCCUUCUAAGCCGAGGGUCACACGUUCAAAUCGUGUAGAGCGCG
rnacentral:tRNA from 1 species